AAAUCUAUUAAUGAAGUUACUGUGUGUUGCUCACCUUGUUCUCCUCAUUCCCUUUAGCACUUGCUGAAAGCACUGAAUACAUUCCCAUUGCUUUCCACCCCAUUCCUGUCAAGGAGGCAAACGAAUAACACGUCCAGCGUUUCAAGUGGCUGCUAACAUGAUGUGUACAACUUCAGACAUUUAUGCGAGCACCCAGAAUAAGAGGAUAAAGUUGGCAACAACCUGAGGUCAUCUUGCCUAUAAACCACCUAACCACUGCCCUCCAGGGGUCCACUUUCCAGUAUCAGACAGUUUUGAGCCGGAUUCUGAUUUGCUUUACACCACCGCUCCAAAUCAGACAGUUGUUAUCAGCAGGAUGAUUGAUGCCAGCGUGAAGCAAAGGACUGUGAUACAGAAGAGCUACUUCAAGGGAAUGUGACUGGCUAGACGGAAAGUGAGAGAGGAGAUUUUCCCCGAGAUCUUCAGACAUGUGGACCUCAAGGUACUAUUAAUUUUGUUUAAAGAGUGGGAUGAAGAAAGGGGUGGAGGACAUGUAAGUGAGAAGAUGUAAAAACAAAACAAGCC
ensembl:lncRNA